AUCUUUUAUUUUCAGACAUUUUCUUUCUUUCUUUGUGAGUGUUGGAUGUAAAAACUCAAUCUUUGUUCUAAAGGAUGAUACUUUUCACUGAUUAUGCUUUGUCUUGUUAGUGUUGAACUGUUUUGUUGAUUUAUUUGUGGCAAAAAGUUUGUAAAGGGAUUUUCUUGAGAAGAAAGAAAAACCCUAACUUUUGUUCAUGCUUUCAACUUGACCGAUAGUUUCUUCUUUCUUGAGCAGAUUCUAAGAAGAGGAGACAAUGUUUGAAACUGGAGAAAGCUCAGAAGAGCCUAAACCUGCUCGAGUAAGUAAUGAUUAAUUUGUCUUCAUGGAAGAGAUUAAUAAAACAAAGUUUAUCUGCACAUAUGUAUGUUUUACAGGUGCUUGUUGACAUACCCAACGAAAGCUUACCUAUGCUCAAUGAGAUUAUCAAACUAGUUACCCCAAGGUUUCAGACAUUAGUGGGUUAUGUUCUCCAGGUUGUGCCCAAAGACAUCUUGCAAUCCAUAAUUGAUUCAGAACCUCAGUCUACUAUCAGAAUCAUCGAGUGUAUGGACCCACAUAAUGCACAGUUCAGACGUAAUCGAUUUGCAUCUAUAACCAAGAAAUGGGUACAGUUUUUUUUUUUUUUUUGUUUUUAUCCUACUUAAUUAGUUUUGGUGAUCUAUGUCCUGUCGGUUUAUAUAUGUUUUCUGUUUUGUUCUAAUGGAUUGCAGCCUACACCAGAGUGUUUGAAAGGUGUGAAUUGGCAAAAGAAAAUGGGGAUCCCGUUGAGAGAUCAAGAAAGUCAUGGUAACGUUUGAUUAAAUAUUUUUGUCUAUCAGCAUAUAGUUAAAUUGGGCUUCCAUGAGAUAAUUCAUUAAAUGUUAUGUUUGUAUAUGCUUUUAGAUGUGUGUUGGGCCAUUGUGGUCAGUGAGCUAAUAAGAGCUGUCAGGCUCAUUGAAAAUCCUAAUCAAGACCCCAAAAUAAGAUACUCUCCUCAAGACUUGAUCGACUUUUCUGACCCUGUGAAAAGGAGGGAGAAAAAGGAAGAGAAAGAGAAAGGGAAAGGAGAUCACUUUUGCUAUACCUCAAAUCUCACCAAUGGUUUCAAAUACGUGAUGAAGCAUGGAAUUCAGUUGGAAGAUGACCGAACAUUCUCAGGCUGUGCUGAAGAGGUUCCUGAUCGUCCCUCAACCCGACUUACAUUCAUCAAAGACUACGUGAAGCUAGAUACUAUUCAGGAGGCUCUUAUCCAUCUUGAGCAUCGACCUAUUGGAGCAGCUUUGGCCUUGUUCCACCCUGAGUACAAAGACAUUGGAGGAAAGGCAAGUAAAUUCAUUUUUUUUUUCUCAAGUAAAUUCAUAGUAUACUUAUUACAUCUAAUUAUCAAUACUAACCCAUUUUAGAUUUACCGCGGACCUAUGAAUCACAAGUCUACCUUCUGUGGACUGCACGCGGUUUCUCUAGUGAGAGUGGGUGAAGAAAAUGGGGAAAAGUAUGUGCUUGCAAGAAGUAGUCAUGGAGAUAAGUUUGGAUGUGAGGGCGGGUACAUCAAGAUCUCCUUGGAAGUUAUGUUGGCUUACAUACCUAUCGCUGGUGAAAGAAUCAACAAAUAUAUUGAGAAGUACUUUGGCAAGCCUCGUUAUCUUCUGAGGAGGUUUUCCUACCCAAGGUUGCUGACAGAGGAAGAAGAGGAGAUAAAAAGAAACAUGUACCAAGACAAAGACAACAUGGAGAUUUGAGGAUUGGUUGAUGAUGGACAAGUAGUUGGCUUCUCGAUCAAACAGAUGCUGCAGAAAAAAACAAACAGUCCACAACUUUUGGGAUGCUAUUUUUAUUUCAAUGAAUAUCAGGAUUUGUGUUCCACGUGACUCUUUUUUUUUUUUUUUUUUUUUCUAUAACGCCUCUGGUUCUGUUCCAUUGAGUUUUGCGGUUCUGUUAUUGUUGCUUUGAUUUCAGACACCAGUUUAUUAGUAGAUUUUGCAAGACUCUGGUUCUCAUUUCAGCUAUUUUUAGGAUUCUGAUUUUAGAGAUUUCUAGGAUCCUGGUUUUGCUACAACACACGCAACAAGACUCUCUGUGUGUCUUAAGUUGCUGGAUUCAUAUGACUUUUUAAUGUUCUGUCACUCGUGUGGUAUUAGCAGUAGAAACCUGUUGCUCAGAGGGAAGGCCAUUUCUUGACUAUCACGUAUAACUUUAAACAAAUAUUAUACUCUCCAUGCAUGGAUGUGGAUUCUGGGGAAUUUCAACAAGCUGAAUGAUUCUAUUGACACUUGUCACCUUCUUCCCAGGUGGAACAGCACAUUCCAAGUUAACUGGAUUCACACAUCAGCUUUUGUUAUACAAGAUGAUACAAUCUGGCCAGGUCCUGAAGAAUCAGACAAGUUAACCACGUUAAAACACACGGUACUUGAGUACCGUCUUUACAUGAUUCUCUCCUUACAUGCCCCAUCCUUGUCUUUCCCUCCUCACCUCUUCUGUUUCUUACACUUUGUAGCAUUAUCAAUACCAAGAUCAGAAUGUGGGGAUCAUGCUACCAUAUACAUUGACCUCGUUUCUCAAGCUAUUAUAUUAGUCCAGUCUGAUGGAUUGAAAUUUAGAUAAACUGAGAGGCUAAUACACUCUUCAAAACUGACAUGAAAUUCAAACGAGUUCUUAAUUGGAAUUUAUUGUGAUCCGUCUUGGUUUAGAACAUUUCUUAGUUGAUACGAAAAAUAAUAAUGACAAAGAUAGUUGAUUGGUUGAUGUUCAAAUGGCUGAUCCUUAAGGAUCCUGGAUAUGCUAACAAAAUGCUCCCACCAUCAUGUAUGUCAGUCGUCACAAAGAUUGAUGCAUAAAACAAAAGCGACCUUAAAGCAUUAAAGAACAAGAUAAUUUAGUCAAAGGCAUAACUUAUAAUUAGAGUAGAUGAUAAGGAAAUACAAGUACUGGAAUUAGUGAAAAGACAUCAUCAUCAACUUAUAAAGUAGAUAGCUAAUGAACUAGAGAACAGCCAGAAGAGACGGAACCAGCAAACUCUACUUGUCAAUCCAACACCUAGCUUCAAGGCACAUGUGUCCAGGGUUUUUUUAAGAGAAUUACGCCGGAUUCGGAUACUUGUCGGUUAUACUUGGACCAUGCCACCGGAUCUACCUCUUCGUCGGAGGAGGAAUCUUCGUCUACUGCUGGUGGCGGUGGAGGAGGAUUGACCGGAGUUUCGAGCUUCCGCUUGCGCUGCGGAGGUUCGUCGAGCCACAGCUUCGCCUCUUCCAACAUCACAUCGUUCAUCUUUCCGAUCUC